CGAUUCUGUAAGCGUUGUUUAACAAACUCGCACGUGAAUUUGGUGUGAGUUUUCAAAUUGGCAUUCUGUAAAUUUCAUUGUAGUGCCGAAUCUACACUAGCGCCCCUCGCGGGUGAAUUGAACUAGCAAGCGUGAGUUUUUUUUACUAAAAUGUAUGAGUUGACGUUUGAAACGGCAUUCUGUAGUGUAAAUCACGUCGAAUUUCGACAAGAACUUCGCAUCGCAAAAUCAUUUUAUUUGUCAAAUCAAAAGUUAGUGUUUUAAGUGUUUGUUGUGAGUGAGAAUAUACGAAAACGUUAUAAACCGCUGUUAAUUAUUAAAAAAAUACUAUUAAUUAACAAAAUUGCACUUUAAAAUAACUUUAUUCUUCAUCGAUAUUUUAUGGAGCGUAUGUUUUUAUUGAAAACAUUGUUGAAAAGGCUGACGCUACGGAUCAGCGUGAAAUGCGUCGACAAGCCUACGAAAUUCACAAUUUAUCACUUUUAACUUGAGAUGACGACUAUGUAAAAGUAUAAAGAAAGUGUAUAGAUUGUCGAAGGAUCAUAUGAACCAGUUAGGGUGUGAAUUACACCCUUUGACGAAGACCACUAAAAGCCAUUGAAAAGGACUUUCAACUCUUCUAAAGUUUCAGUUAUUGUGCACCUUGUUUAUUUGGGCAAAUGAAGUUACCAAAAAAAUCAUAAAAGAAAAUAUAAGAACAUAUUUGUCCCAGAUAUCCCAGUGUAUAUCUGAGGUUGUGGAGGCUCUGAACAACCCAGCAACUAUAUAUAAAUAUUUAAGAUUCCCGCAGAAUGCUCAAGAAUGGCAAAAGUUGAAGGAUAACUGAAGAAAAAAGAAGAAGGUGGUUUAAACUAAAUAAAUAUUUUUUUUCUUCAUAAAAAAGUACCAAUAUUAAUCUAAUGCUAAAUAUUGCAGUUUUUGUAAAAAAAUUAAAAACACUUUGGUUGUUGGGUGUAUUGAUGGGACGUUGGUGGCCUUAAAAAGACCUGCUACCAAUAAAAAAUGGUUUUACUGUCACAAAGGCUAUCAUGCCAGAAAAUGUACAAUUUGUAAAGCCAUUAAUAUUUUUCGAAAUUCUGAUGAUAUGUAAUCCAUAAACGAAAUGUGUAUUAUAAACUAUGUAUUCAGAUUGUAUUCAUUUCAGUUAAAUUGAAUUGUGUAUAUUGCUUUAAAGUUAUUGUGAAAUUUAGUAUUUAUAUUAAAUAAACUUUAUUCAGUUAUAAAAAAAACAAAAUAAAAUCUACUAAAGAUUAGUCAAUGACAGCAAGUAAUGACCAUUAUAAUUAUUUAACAUCUUUUCGGUCUUUCUGUAUAAUAUAUGCUCAACGUUCCAACCUUAUGACACCUUUUGCAAAUUUUUUUUUCAUUUCACCAUCUAAAUGGUUAGACGAGCUCACAGCCCACCUGGUGUUAAGUGGUUACUGGAGCCCAUAGACAUCUACAACGUAAAUGCGCCACCAACCUUGAGAUAUAAAUUCGAAGGUCUCAGUAUAGUUACAACGGCUGCGCCACCCUUCAAACCGAAACGCAUUACUGCUUCAGAAAUAGGCAAUAAUGCUAUGCUAGCUAAUACCUGCUAAUAAUGGCUAGCUAAUGCUAAUACGGAGAGAGAUACUCCUGAAGCUUUGUAGCACCACCUUCAUUCCACUGCCCGUAACUCAGUGAAAAGAACAAUAGUUCUGCUAAAGAGUAGAUUCAGGUGUUUGCUGAUCCAUAGGGUGCCAAUUUAUCACCCUGAUAAGGUAGCAAAAAUAGCUGUUGCGUGUUGUGUUUUGCACAACAUUUGCAAUUGUGCAGAGCUGCCAGUUCCCAUAAUCUCAGAUUAUGAGAUUACAUUUACAUUAUGGUGGUCAUGUUGAAUUACUUUGUUAAAUUCUACUAAUUAGCUUACUUAUAGUGUGAAGUAACUUCAAAUAUAAAUUAAUGAUUUAUAAAAA